CCUACGUGCGGCAGCAGUAGGGAAUCUUCCACAAUGGGCGAAAGCCUGAUGGAGCAACGCCGCGUGGGUGAAGAAGGUCUUCGGAUCGUAAAACCCUGUUGUUAGAGAAGAAAGUGCGUGAGAGUAACUGUUCACGUUUCGACGGUAUCUAACCAGAAAGCCACGGCUAACUACGUGCCAGCAGCCGCGGUAAUACGUAGGUGGCAAGCGUUAUCCGGAUUUAUUGGGCGUAAAGGGAACGCAGGCGGUCUUUUAAGUCUGAUGUGAAAGCCUUCGGCUUAACCGGAGUAGUGCAUUGGAAACUGGGAGACUUGAGUGCAGAAGAGGAGAGGGGAACUCCAUGUGUAGCGGUGAAAUGCGUAGAUAUAUGGAAGAACACCAGUGGCGAAAGCGGCUCUCUGGUCUGUAACUGACGCUGAGGUUCGAAAGCGUGGGUAGCAAACAGGAUUAGAUACCCUGGUAGUC
rnacentral:rRNA from 1 species